rnacentral:rRNA from 1 species
GAUGAACGCUGGCGGCGUGCCUAAUACAUGCAAGUCGAGCGAACAGACGAGGAGCUUGCUCCUCUGACGUUAGCGGCGGACGGGUGAGUAACACGUGGAUAACCUACCUAUAAGACUGGGAUAACUUCGGGAAACCGGAGCUAAUACCGGAUAAUAUAUUGAACCGCAUGGUUCAAUAGUGAAAGACGGUUUUGCUGUCACUUAUAGAUGGAUCCGCGCCGCAUUAGCUAGUUGGUAAGGUAACGGCUUACCAAGGCAACGAUGCGUAGCCGACCUGAGAGGGUGAUCGGCCCCACUGGAACUGGGACGCGGUCCAGACUCCUACGGGAGGCAGCAGUAGGGAAUCUUCCGCAAUGGGCGAAAGCCUGACGGAGCAACGCCGCGUGAGUGAUGAAGGUCUUCGGAUCGUAAAACUCCGUUAUUAGGGAAGAACAAAUGUGUAAGUAACUAUGCACGUCUUGACGGUACCUAAUCAGAAAGCCACGGCUAACUACGUG